CCUACGGGAGGCAGCAGUGGGGAAUAUUGCGCAAUGGGGGAAACCCUGAUGCAGCGACGCCGCGUGAGCGAAGAAGGAUUUCGGUAUGUAAAGCUCUAUCAGCAGGGAAGAAAAUGACGGUACCUGAGUAAGAAGCUCCGGCUACAUACGGGCCAGCAGCCGCGGUAAUACGUAGGGGGCAAGCGUUAUCCGGAUUUACUGGGAGGAGAGGGGGCGUAGGCGGCCUGCCAAGUCUGAUGUGAAAUACCCGGGCUCAACCCCUGGGCUGCAUUGGAAACUGGCAGUCUUGAGUGCCGGAGAGGCAGGCGGAAUUCCUAGUGUAGCGGUGAAAUGCGUAGAUAUUAGGAGGAACACCAGUGGCGAAGGCGGCCUGCUGGACGGCGACUGAUGCUGAGGCGCGAAAGCGUGGGGAGCAAACAGGAUUAGAUACCCGAGUAGUC
rnacentral:rRNA from 1 species